CUGCUACCUCUUACCCAUGUCUUUUGAGUACCUUCGUUUCCUCGGCGGGUCCGCCCGCCGAUUGGACAACAUUCAAACCCUUUGCAGUUGCAAUCAGCGUCUGAAAAAACAUAAUAGUUACAACUUUCAACAACGGAUCUCUUGGUUCUGGCAUCGAUGAAGAACGCAGCGAAAUGCGAUAAGUAGUGUGAAUUGCAGAAUUCAGUGAAUCAUCGAAUCUUUGAACGCACAUUGCGCCCCUUGGUAUUCCAUGGGGCAUGCCUGUUCGAGCGUCAUUUGUACCUUCAAGCUCUGCUUGGUGUUGGGUGUUUGUCUCGCCUCUGCGUGUAGACUCGCCUUAAAACAAUUGGCAGCCGGCGUAUUGAUUUCGGAGCGCAGUACAUCUCGCGCUUUGCACUCAUAACGACGACGUCCAAAAGUACAUUUUUACACUCUUGACCUCGGAUCAGGUAGGGAUACCCGCUGAACUUAAGC
rnacentral:rRNA from 1 species